UCUCCCAUCCUUCCCCUACGGCUCCUUGCCCGUACCCGGUAAUACCACUGCCACCGCCACCAACCCCCUUCCCGACCAAACUUAAUCUCUAUAACAAACCAUGCUUUAGUCCAUCAAGGCAACCAACCAGAAUUAAUUACCCUGUUAAGUUACCCUUCUCAUAGCAAUCCGGUCGUCUUCAAUUUUGGAGUAGCCGUCGGUCCUGAUGGAGCGCAUCGUGGUGGUGGUGAAGGAUGAGGAGGAGAUGGAGGUCCCUCAGCCGAUGCCGGGACUUCACGAGAUCGGCCCGCCACCAUUCCUGACGAAGACGUUCGAGAUGGUGGAGGACCCGGAGACCGACACGGUGGUGUCGUGGAGUCCAGCUCGUAAUAGCUUCGUUGUUUGGGACUCGCACAGGUUCGCCACCACUCUCCUGCCCAGGUACUUCAAGCACAACAACUUCUCCAGCUUCAUUCGCCAGCUCAACACUUAUGGCUUUCGAAAAGUCGAUCCGGACCGAUGGGAGUUCGCGAACGAAGGCUUCCUGGGAGGCCAGAAGCACCUCCUCAAGAACAUCCGGAGGCGGCGCAACGUCGGCCAGAGCUCCCAUCACGAUCACCAGCAGCAGCAGCAGCAGCAGCACCAAGUUGCCAGCGCCUGCGUCGAAGUGGGAAAAUUCGGGCUCGAAACCGAAGUGGAUCGACUGAGACGAGACCGCAACGUUCUGAUGCUGGAGAUUGUGAAGCUCCGGCAGCAGCAGCAAAGCUCCCGGGCUCUGCUCCUCGAAAUGGAGCAGCGGAUGCAGGGCACCGAGCGGAAGCAGCAGCAGACCAUGGCAUUCCUGGCUCGAGCUCUCAGGAACCCCAGUUUCAUCCAGCGGCUUCUCCUUCGAAGCCAGCAAAUGAAACAAUUGUCGGGAGCCGGCAGGAAACGGAGACUGCCGGCGACUCCCAGCUCGGACAAUCUGCGAGCAAGUGAAGACGAAUUCGCCAUCCAAUCGGAGAUGGAGAGUCUGCUGUCCGCUGUGGAUGGCGAAGUUGGCAGUUCGAGCAGAGGGCGGAAGAACGAACAGAUGUUCGACGCUAUGGAUCAGAGCUCGGCCGCGAUCACCGAUCUGAUAUGGGAGGAGCUGCUGGACGAGAGUUUGUUGAGAGGGAAUGAGGCAGCGCAAGGAGAGCAGUCGGAGAUAGAAGUCGUGGUGGAGGAACUGGCGGCAGAGCAAAUUGAGUGGGGCGAGGAGGUGCAGGACUUGGUGGAUCAGAUAGGCUACUUGGGUUCAUCUCCAGAGGCUUAGACUGUACGAACCAAACUGUGGAUGGUACUUAGUUUCCAUCCUUGUUAGUUGUUGGUUGCUCUUAAGUUUGCCACCCCCUCUCAUCCUUGUGUCAGCACUUACCGUAGGUUUUUUAGUGCAGUAAACGUGUCUUAAUGGUCGGGUAGCGUUCGAGUGUUGAUGAAUAGUGGCAUCUCUUGACCUGCAGGCAGUAGCGGAAGAAAGAAAGAAGCAAGGGAUGCGCUGUUCCGAGAUCCAGGGGAUGUCUUCCACAUGGGUCUUCUAUGUUGAUUGAAAAUUGCAGUCAUGGUUUGUUUGAUGAAGAGAUUCCAAGAGUCUGCAGAGGAGACCAUUCUGGUAAGUAAACAGAGCAGACAUUCUUGUCUGCACUAGGUGCAGGCACGGAUCUGAUUUUGAGUGCUUAGGAAUGAUUAAUGGAUUUAUUUAAAGCAAGCCCGUAAGAAUAGCUGCUGAUGUUUGGUGAAACUUUUGCAAUGCUCCUAGACCACCUGGUGUUAAACUUCAGGUGUUCUUGAAUUCGAUGAAGCUGAUGAAAGAAAUCUCUGUGAAUGGCUGUCCAAGACAGAGGAGUCAAACAAUCCUCUUCUUGUUUAUGAUUGUUCCCAGCUAGGAUUAAUGCCUCCCAGAGAAGGUCAAUCACUAUUUCAUAAAAAAUUGCUUGUUUGGACUGAUAGUUGGAAUCUUCUACCUGUGAUGAUCUAUUAAUAUGUUAUUUUGCUUUUGCGGCUUCAGCACUUGCUUCCGGCACCACGAAAUUUCAGCUUCUUUGAUCAAGCAUCACGACGAACCAUAUAAUUAUCAUUGUACUGUUUAUUGUUCUAUCAUUAUUUAAUGCUGGAUGGUGUUUCUUUUUUCUAUACUCAACUACUAAUUUUGCUUUUGAAGAAGCAGCGGUGAGUCUUGACCUGUCAAACUUCAGCAUAUAGGAAAGAGAAUGGGAGAAAAGCGAACGACUGAUGCCAAGAGAAGGCAUCGGAACACGCAGAUUGAACUAGAAGAUGGACCAUGCAAUCCUACCUUGCGUAAUGUAAUCCAAAUUGAACUUGAUGUAAUUAUAACUCGGUUUCCUUCCUUAAUGUGACGCUUGAUCAACUUAGUGUUUGUGCAGUCAUUAAA